CGACAGGUAGCUCAGUUGGUAGAGCGUACGACGGAUACUCGUAAGGUCGGUGGUUCAAAUCCAUCUCUGUCAA
rfam:Enterococcus sp. 2G9_DIV0600 scaffold00001, whole genome shotgun sequence.